rnacentral:rRNA from 1 species
UACGUAGGGGGCAAGCGUUGUCCGGAAUUAUUGGGCGUAAAGCGCACGUAGGCGGCUUGGCAAGUCGGAUGUGAAAUCCCUCGGCUCAACCAAGGAAGUGCAUCCGAAACUGCUGAGCUUGAGUACUUAAGAGGAUCGCGGAAUUCCCGGUGUAGAGGUGAAAUUCGUAGAUAUCGGGAGGAACACCAGUGGCGAAGGCGGCGAUCUGGGAAGAUACUGACGCUGAGGUGCGAAAGCGUGGGGAGCAAACAGG